rnacentral:ncRNA from 1 species
ACUCAGGCACGACCUACGCCGGGAGCGUAGGGACGACCUGAAGUCUCAAUCCUGAGGGA